ACGCUAGAAAACAGAAAAACCCCAAAAGCUCUCACACCAUUCCUCUGCUUCCUUCACGCCGAACCUCCACCACCGCCAUAGCCUGAUCGCCGGAGCCUGAGCUUAAAGAAACAAUAGACCUAAAAAAAAAACAGCCUGCUCGCACGCUCACAGCUUCCUUCACGCUCACAAAAAACUUCCUUCACGCCGAACCUCCACCACCGCCACACAGAUCGCCAGAGCAGAACGACUUCGAAGAAGAAGAGUUCGCCGGAGCUUGGAAACAAACCGGAGCCGCCGUGAGCCACGAUCCAAAGGGUGGUGAAGCAAGAAAUGGGGAAUAUUGGAAAGAAUGUAACUGAGCCGCUAACACACCAAGAAACAAGCAAAGCAUGGGACAAGAAGCCAAAGUCUUACAUCAUCUUCAAGGAUCUGCUCAAGAGCAUUUUCCUCUACUUUCCUUUGUUUGAAUCUGGCAUUAUUGGAAGGCAGUCGAAAAAGAGGCAUAGUUUUGCUCCUCAGGAUUGUUUUUGGAGUGUCUGGAAGGAGAAUGGCUGCCUAUUUGUUUUUUUUUUCUUUUGGGCUUGUAGGGUAGGGGUUAGUAGGCAUCAAAGAAUUAACUAGAAAAUCAAAAAGUAAUGAUUUGUCAUUGAAGAUGGAGCAUUGAUCCCAUCUGAAAUUUGUACUCACAGCUUUGUUUUCCACAAUAUCUGUGGUGGAGUCUAUACAAGUGAAUACAUCAAGUUACAGUUAUAUAUUGUUAAUACUUCUCA